ACACUGCUGAGGAGUCCCACACUAGAACGAAACAGCCGUCCAGUAC
rnacentral:hammerhead_ribozyme from 1 species